rnacentral:lncRNA from 1 species
GUUUGACAUUGUCAUAUCUGACGUUCAUAGGUUGCAAGGUCGUCAUAUCCCACGUUACGACAAGUUGAGAAGGUAAUAUGACCAUUUACGACUAAACAAUCUAAAGGAGCUUACCAUUUAACCACCUCUCCAUCGUGGGAGUAAACACAAUGUAUAAUGCAUCAACUCCUUUAAGAUUUACUACCCCCCUCUCCCCCAUCAUUCCCUUUCUCUCUCCCUCUCAGUUUCUCUCUAAACACAAUAUUAUUUCUCAUGUCGGAACCUGGUCUUGAGGAGAUUAUUUCUCUUUCAUGACAAUUCUAAUGGUGCUUUCUUAUGCACAUAACAGAGGAAGAUGACGUGGAUUCGACAAACUCAUCCUAAAGCAAUGCUAAUACGAUCUUAUACAAGCUAGUUAGAUCUUUCUACAUGAGUUCCGACUAUGAAUGUGCCGCCCCAUUACAACGAUGUGCUAUAAUGAUGCGUCUAACUUAG